rnacentral:lncRNA from 1 species
AUGACUACUGCAAGUAGUCAAUAUUGUUACAAUGAAUUAUUUAUGACCCCUUCUAGUUAUUGGUGGCUAUUUUUAUAUAUUUUUCCUUUGGAAUGCCUCACAUGUAUGCUGCGGUCUAAAAUAGACAUUUAUUUUUAUUUUACAGCAUUGCCUAAUAUGUCUCAUCAGAGUUCAGCUAAAAGAAGCAUUUUGUAUUUUUAUAUAUAUGAUACCAGCCAGUUCCAGAUCAGCCAGUCAUGUAUCAGCCUGGUCCAGUUGGUCCAGUUAGUCCAGCAUCACACCAUGGCCAGCCAUAUGGAGCACCUGUCCCUGCACCAGUCUCAGUGCCUGCUGGAGUACCACCUGGUCUGGAGUACCUCACUCAGAUUGAUCAGAUCCUUAUUCAUCAGAAAGUGGAGUUGUUAGAGGCAAUCAUUGGCUUUGAGACCAACAACCAGUAUGAGAUCAAGAAUAGCCUCGGUCAAAAGAUUUAUUCUGCCAAAGAAAAAAAUGACUGCUGCACACGCAACUGCUGUGGAGCCCUGCGCAGCUUUGACAUGAAGAUCAAAGACAACGCCGAUCGAGAGGUCAUACGACUGAUCCGACCUUUCCGCUGUGUCUCCUGUUGGUGCCCCUGCUGCCUACAAGAGGUAUAAUGGACAGGCCAUAUCAAAGCUUUGCAUUUAAUUAUGUUUGUUACGUUAAGCUGUGGUUCUUAAUUCCAGUCCUGGUGACUCACUGCUCUGCACAUUUUCUAUGUCUCUCUUAUUUAAUGCACCCUGUUCAGUUAAUGGAUCUCUCUCCUAAUGAGCUGAGGAUCUGAAUCACUGAUUCAGAAUCAGGAUUGUUAAAUAAGGGAGAAAUGCAAAAUGUGCAGAGCAGAGGGUCCCCAGGACUGGAAUUGAGAACCAGUCAUCUAAAGAACAUGUUGUUUGACCUACUUCUGACAUGAAUGUGUGUGAAGUGUUAUAAAUGGCAUAGAGUCAGUUUGGACAUAGGACUUUAUGCCACUCUGUCUUUGCAAGUAGUCAGUAAUCAUGCAGUUCAUGUAGUUUUAGUUUGGAAACAGUAAGAUUUUUGUUGUUGUUUGUAAAGAAUACUUUUUUUGUUUGUUUUCAGCAAGGAUGCAUUAAAUUGAUCAAAAGAAACCAUAAAAAUAUUUAGAAUGUAACAAAAUAUUUAUAUUUUAAAUAAAUGCUGUUCUUUUGAUCUUUCUAUUUAUAAAUGAACCUUAAAAAAAAUUAUCAUAGUUUCCAAAAAACAUUAAGCAGCACAACUGUUUACACAACGUUAAUAAUAAGAAAUGUUUCUUGAGCACCAAAUCAGCAUAUUAGGAUGAUUUAUGAAAGAUCGUGCGACACCGAAAAGUGCUGCUAGAAAUCCAACUUACAUCACAGAAAUAAAUUAUUUUUUAAUUUAUUUCACUGAACCAUAAUUUAUUCCUUUUGAACAUGUCUAUGUGCACACAGCUGCUAGCUUAAAGUGCCCCAAUUAUGCAAUUUUUAAGGUUCCUAAUGUUGUUUUGGGAGUCUCCUACAAUAGGAUUACAUGCAUGCAAGGUCAAAAAAUGCUUUCGUUUACUCAGAAUAGUUAAAAUCGAUAGAAAAUAUAAACAUUUAUUGUUUAUCAUACUUGAGAUUCAGUGGAGCCACCAGGUCCAAAUAAACGGUACUGAGCCAUCUUUCAAGAGGAAGGGUUUAGUGAAUCCGGGUUGAAAACCCUGAGAUUUUUUUUAUUUUUAUUUUUUACUCCCCGAGAUUAGAGAAGCAAUCGUCAGUAAAAUGAUGUAUUUGAAGUUGUUCGCUGCCUGCCAACGUAGAACAUAGGUGGGAAUUAUGCAAAUGUGUUACCCCAUGUUGUGUAGCCGUCACGAAUGUGGGAUUCGAAUUACUAACGACUCAUUUAGGCUGUAGAGAGUCGAUUCUUUAUUUUGGGUGACAAUAACUUUAUCGUGCACUUUCGGCUUUACAACUUUGAUCAUUUACUUUCACAUACAGCUAAAAGUUGGAGACACAAACCAACGUAAUACUGUAUUCUCUUAGAGCUCUUGCUAAGUUAGUAAGUUUAGUUGUUUUUUUUUUAUUUUUUUUUUUUUUUGUUUUUUUUUUAUUAACUGUAUGUAAAUGCUCACUAUUUUGUCCUUGUUAUUUUCUUUCACAUUUUGUCCUGUAUUUCUUGGGUAACCAGUGAAAAACCAAGGGACAUGUUUAGUGUCAUUUUAUAGUGUUCAUGUGACCAGCAAUAUUUACAAUGAGAGGCGAGGUAUCAUGAGUAACUGUUCACUGAUGACUUUUAAACAAUCACAGCCUACAAUAAUUACAAAUGACUUGUCACAAUAGUACAAGCAACUAACACUUAUGUUUUUGUUAAACUUUAUUUUUUUAUUAGAAGUAAACUUUAACAUGCAACCUAACACGUUUUUCUACAUUAUCUCAUAAAGUGUAUAUUUUUUUUCAGUCUUUUAGAAGGAAAUUCAGUUUUAUUGUGCUAAAUGCAAACCAUUUUGUUUAAAACAGUGGUUCUUAAUUCCAGUCCUUGAGUAACACCGCUCUGCACAUUUCGUAUGUAUCUUUUAUCACUUCAGACGCUUUUCUAUAUGACCUGAAGUCCCCUGUGAAGUGGACAUCAAAGGAUAUUCCGCCAUGAUUCCAGUUCGAAGGGAGCAUAUGUUCCAUUCAAAGGACAUUACAGUGUGCGAGACAUAAAUUUAAAUUGUAUAUUUAUAGAGGUAUAUUAUUUCACGCAAAAUAUGCAGAGCAGUGGUACGCAAGGACUGGAAUUGAGAACCACUGAGUCAAAACAUACGGAUGUUCGUGCAGCCAAGUAAUGCACGAUGGUGGGGGUUGCAUGCAAGUUAAUGACUCUGACAACAAGUGAAAAAAGGAGAAAACAGGAAGUAGUUCAUGGUUUUCUGUGCGUAUAGACCAGUGACUUAAUAUGGGUAGAAUGCCAAUUUGUUACUAAUAGAUUAGUAAUUUAAUAGAUUAGUAAUUGUUGCAUAUAUAUAUAUAUAUAUAUAUAUAUAUAUAAUAUAUAUAUAUAUAUAUAUAUAUAUAUAUAUCUUUUUUGGAGAGCACUGGUCUAUAGAAUUUCUGUUUGUACACAAUCUGUCUGACUGUGGAUGGGUGGAGUCCAAACUCUUUAGAGAUGGAUUUGUAACCUUUUCUAGCCUGAUGAACAACAUCAGCGCUCUUUCUGAGGUCCUCAGAGAUCUCAUUUGUCGUGCCAUGAUACACUUCCACAAACAUGACCAAACUUUCAUAGAUCCCUGUUCUUUAAAUAAAACUCUGCACACAGUGACACCUGAUAGUCAUCUCACUGAUCAAAAACACCUCUGAACAGAUGGACUAAUUUCAUUACAUUGAUUAAUUUUACAUAGAGAUUUACAUACUUUUGCUGCUCACAGAUAUGUAAUAUUGGAUCAUUUUCAUUGUGUGGGUGUAAUAUAUAUUAUUAU